rnacentral:rRNA from 4 species
UAAAUUUAGAGUUUGAUCCUGGCUCAGGACGAACGCUGGCGGCGUGCUUAACACAUGCAAGUCGAGCGAUGAAGCUUCCUUCGGGGAGUGGAUUAGCGGCGGACGGGUGAGUAACACGUGGGUAACCUGCCUCAAAGUGGGGGAUAGCCUUCCGAAAGGAAGAUUAAUACCGCAUAAUAUAAGAGAAUCGCAUGAUUUUCUUAUCAAAGAUUUAUUGCUUUGAGAUGGACCCGCGGCGCAUUAGCUAGUUGGUAAGAUAACGGCUUACCAAGGCAACGAUGCGUAGCCGACCUGAGAGGGUGAUCGGCCACAUUGGAACUGAGACACGGUCCAGACUCCUACGGGAGGCAGCAGUGGGGAAUAUUGCGCAAUGGGGGAAACCCUGACGCAGCAACGCCGCGUGGGUGAUGAAGGUCUUCGGAUUGUAAAGCCCUGUUUUCUAGGACGAUAAUGACGGUACUAGAGGAGGAAGCCACGGCUAACUACGUGCCAGCAGCCGCGGUAAUACGUAGGUGGCGAGCGUUGUCCGGAUUUACUGGGCGUAAAGGGUGCGUAGGCGGAUGUUUAAGUGGGAUGUGAAAUCCCCGGGCUUAACCUGGGGGCUGCAUUCCAAACUGGAUAUCUAGAGUGCAGGAGAGGAAAGCGGAAUUCCUAGUGUAGCGGUGAAAUGCGUAGAGAUUAGGAAGAACACCAGUGGCGAAGGCGGCUUUCUGGACUGUAACUGACGCUGAGGCACGAAAGCGUGGGUAGCAAACAGGAUUAGAUACCCUGGUAGUCCACGCCGUAAACGAUGGAUACUAGGUGUAGGGGGUAUCAACUCCCCCUGUGCCGCAGUUAACACAAUAAGUAUCCCGCCUGGGGAGUACGGUCGCAAGAUUAAAACUCAAAGGAAUUGACGGGGGCCCGCACAAGCAGCGGAGCAUGUGGUUUAAUUCGAAGCAACGCGAAGAACCUUACCUGGACUUGACAUCCCUUGCAUAGCCUAGAGAUAGGUGAAGCCCUUCGGGGCAAGGAGACAGGUGGUGCAUGGUUGUCGUCAGCUCGUGUCGUGAGAUGUUAGGUUAAGUCCUGCAACGAGCGCAACCCUUGUUAUUAGUUGCUACCAUUAAGUUGAGCACUCUAAUGAGACUGCCUGGGUAACCAGGAGGAAGGUGGGGAUGACGUCAAAUCAUCAUGCCCCUUAUGUCCAGGGCUACACACGUGCUACAAUGGUAGGUACAAUAAGACGCAAGACCGUGAGGUGGAGCAAAACUUAUAAAACCUAUCUCAGUUCGGAUUGUAGGCUGCAACUCGCCUACAUGAAGCUGGAGUUGCUAGUAAUCGCGAAUCAGAAUGUCGCGGUGAAUACGUUCCCGGGCCUUGUACACACCGCCCGUCACACCAUGAGAGCUGGUAACACCCGAAGUCCGUGAGGUAACCGUAAGGAGCCAGCGGCCGAAGGUGGGAUUAGUGAUUGGGGUGAAGUCGUAACAAGGUAGCCGUAGGAGAACCUGCGGCUGGAUCACCUCCUUU